rnacentral:rRNA from 1 species
GCAAGUCGAACGAGAAAGGGCUUCGGCCCCGGUACAGUGGCGCACGGGUGAGUAACACGUAGGUAAUCUAUCCUCGAGUGGUGGAUAACAUCCCGAAAGGGGUGCUAAUACAGCAUAAGACCACGGUCCCGCGAGGGACAGGGGUCAAAGCGGGCCAAUUCAAGAAAGCUCGCGCUUGAGGCUGAGCCUGCGGGGCAUCAGCUAGUUGGUGGGGUAAUGGCCUACCAAGGCUUAGACGCCUAGCUGGUCUGAGAGGAUGAUC